rnacentral:piRNA from 1 species
UGAUCCAGACCAAGGACGUAAGGGUGAGAGC